UACGUAGGGGGCAAGCGUUGUCCGGAUUUAUUGGGCGUAAAGAGCGUGUAGGCGGUUUGGUAGGUCCGCUGUGAAAACUCGAGGCUCAACCUCGAGACGCCGGUGGAAACCAUCAGACUAGAGUCCGGAAGAGGAGAGUGGAAUUCCCGGUGUAGCGGUGAAACGCGCAGAUAUCGGGAAGAACACCCGUGGCUAAGGCGGCUCUCUAGUACGGUACUGACGCUGAGACGCGAAAGCGUGGGGAGCAAACAGG
rnacentral:rRNA from 1 species